UGCAAGUCCGAACGAUGACUUUUGUGCUUGCACAAGAUGAUUAGUGGCGAACGGGUGAGUAACACGUGAGUAACCUGCCCUUGACUCUGGGAUAAGCCUGGGAAACUGGGUCUAAUACUGGAUAUGCACCGUGGACCGCAUGGUUUUUGGUGGAAAGAUUUAUUGGUCAAGGAUGGACUCGCGGCCUAUCAGCUUGUUGGUGAGGUAAUGGCUCACCAAGGCGACGACGGGUAGCCGGCCUGAGAGGGUGACCGGCCACACUGGGACUGAGACACGGCCCAGACUCCUACGGGAGGCAGCAGUGGGGAAUAUUGCACAAUGGGCGAAAGCCUGAUGCAGCGACGCCGCGUGAGGGAUGACGGCCUUCGGGUUGUAAACCUCUUUCAGUAGGGAAGAAGCGAAAGUGACGGUACCUGCAGAAGAAGCGCCGGCUAACUACGUGCCAGCAGCCGCGGUAAUACGUAGGGCGCAAGCGUUAUCCGGAAUUAUUGGGCGUAAAGAGCUCGUAGGCGGUUUGUCGCGUCUAUCGUGAAAGUCCGAGGCUCAACCUCGGAUCUGCGGUGGGUACGGGCAGACUAGAGUGAUGUAGGGGAGACUGGAAUUCCUGGUGUAGCGGUGAAAUGCGCAGAUAUCAGGAGGAACACCGAUGGCGAAGGCAGGUCUCUGGGCAUUAACUGACGCUGAGGAGCGAAAGCAUGGGGAGCGAACAGGAUUAGAUACCCUGGUAGUCCAUGCCGUAAACGUUGGGCACUAGGUGUAGGGGACAUUCCACGUUUUCCGCGCCGUAGCUAACGCAUUAAGUGCCCCGCCUGGGGAGUACGGCCGCAAGGCUAAAACUCAAAGGAAUUGACGGGGGCCCGCACAAGCGGCGGAGCAUGCGGAUUAAUUCGAUGCAACGCGAAGAACCUUACCAAGGCUUGACAUGUGCUAGAUCGCCAUAGAAAUAUGGUUUCCCCUUUGGGGCUGGUUCACAGGUGGUGCAUGGUUGUCGUCAGCUCGUGUCGUGAGAUGUUGGGUUAAGUCCCGCAACGAGCGCAACCCUCGUUCCAUGUUGCCAGCACGUAGUGGUGGGGACUCAUGGGAGACUGCCGGGGUCAACUCGGAGGAAGGUGGGGACGACGUCAAAUCAUCAUGCCCCUUAUGUCUUGGGCUUCACGCAUGCUACAAUGGCCGGUACAAUGGGUUGCGAUACUGUGAGGUGGAGCUAAUCCCAAAAAGCCGGUCUCAGUUCGGAUUGGGGUCUGCAACUCGACCCCAUGAAGUCGGAGUCGCUAGUAAUCGCAGAUCAGCAACGCUGCGGUGAAUACGUUCCCGGGCCUUGUACACACCGCCCGUCAAGUCACGAAAGU
rnacentral:rRNA from 1 species